CGGCGCGGCGCGGCCCGGCUCUGAUGUCAGCGCCUCGCCGCGGCCGGCCCCGGCCGCCGGGGGAGGGACGGGGCGGGGCGGGCAGCGGGGCCUGCGCCCGCCGGGGCGGGGAGGCGGCCCGGCACGGCCCCGCCGCUUCGCUCCGCCGGGGACCCCCGCCGCAACCCCCCGGCACGGCCCCGCCGCUUCGCUCCGCCGGGGACCCCCGCCGCAACCCCGCCGCUUCGCUCCUCCCCAGGCCGACUGGGGGGCUCAGCGCUUCCGAGGGGCUGCAGGACAUUGGGGGGGCCCGGUGGGGUGCAGAUCUCAGCCACCUGCCCCCAAACCGGCUGUUUCCCUACCCUGGUGAGACCCGCGGUGCGGUGUCAACAGGUCGUGGCAUUCCCAGUUGCUGCCCCAGUGACACCCAGUUAACGUGUCUGGCAUCUUCUCGGUGGCCCAAAAGCGUCCCUAACCUGACCAAAACAGGCUCUGACACAUCAGCAGCUACUGGCACCCAAGCGCCUUGUUCACCCAUUGCUCCAUCUCUACCCAAUUCCCAGGAAGAUGAGAUGUAAACACCACCACAGGCACACAGAGCAUCAGAAAGGCAGGGGGUGAGAAACCCGCCCAAAAAGAAUAACAGCCAUCCUGACAGUAACAAAUUAACCCCAAUUUCUGCAUUCAGAACCCAAUACGGAUACUGAUGAGGCAAAGAGAGAAGGGAUCUGUGCCAAGGUGCAGCGUACCAUGGAGUUCCCUGGCACCUGGCAAAAUCCAAUGAACGUUUCUUCAGCUGGAGGUCAAUGGAGAAUCCAGACUUUUCAUUUCUGGACAUAAAAAGCACAGCCUGCUUGUCACUGAUAAUCCCUGUUUUCUAAGUAAAGAACACAUGUUGGUUGACGUUCAUCCCUCGCUCACCCAGCUGUCCCACAAAAAGCAGCGAGCGUGCCCUGCGGAAUGGAGGUAAAGAAACGCGCCCAAAGCCUUACCAGGAGCCAACAGCAGAGCCUAGAGCAACCUCCCGAGGCCCAGCCACUGCUUUUUGGCAGGCGGGUACGCAUCCAGCCGCACGCACAAGCCCACCCUGCGUGGCAGAGCUGAGGGACUGGCGUGCCACUGGGGUGGCGUGGGGCAGGACACGCUCCAAGGCCCCACAGAUCCAGCAGCCGCAUCCACGGGGCUGUGAUGCAACAGGCAGCCCCAGCCCCAAGCCAUGCACGGGCUCCAGUCUCACCAUUAACCAUGAACAGCUCUGGAAGCCCCUCUGAAACACCCUGAAGGAGAGUCCUGGUGCACACCGCGGUCAGAAACCACCAUCCCCGUUCACCCACACUGGUGUCACAAGGACAGAGCAAGCUGUGGAAGUGGGACUUCCCUCUUCUAUUUGCAAGUAAAGGAAAGCAAUAGCAAAAGAACACGUCUGCAGCGGUCAGGAGGGGGAACACCAGGCCCACGGUACACGAGACCUGCACCAAGUCCUCAACAAGCAGCUGCCUCCAGAAGAAAGCAAAUAUCCAGAGCCUGAAAGGGGCAGGACAGAGAAGAGCAAGCUGUGAGCUCUGCCAGUCCCUGCACGCAGGCAGAGCCGCUUGCACCGGAGCGGGAGGCACCUGGUCCACGUCUGCCAUCCCAGCACCUUCUGUGAUCAAUAACAUCCUCUCGGACUUUUUUAGACAAGCCAAUAAAGCCACCCCACGUGUUUAAAAAAAAAAACAACAAACCAUCUGAUGAUUUUAAAAGCCGGUUUUUAACCGGUGACUGAUCAAUAGCUGGGUGAAGCAGCAGAUCCAGCUAAUCAAAGUACGUCAUUAGCAGCAAGAGAUGGAGCGUCUGUCAGGAGGUGGCAGCGAUAGUCACCAGAUGGGAGACUCCCUAGGCCUACUAGGAAGGAGGCCAAUGCCGUGAUUUAUUGCAGAAGACCUGCCAAACGCUUUGCAGACCGUCUGGGCUGGACAUAGAAGCACCGAGGGUGAUUUUUCCACCUGGAAACUGUCCUGAUUCAUUGCCCACAAGAUGAUGCCAGAUGUACUUCCUGAACUCAGAGUCACAAAAACCGCUAGUCAGAAAUACAUAAAUAUAUAUCUUCUAAAAUAAUUUGCUUUGAAAGGGAUGUAGUCCAACUGACAAGCAAAACCACAGAUCGUGCACAAGGGAAAACUGAGCUUGCGAGCAAAUAUUAGUUCUUGCCUAAGGCACAUCUGAGCAGCAGAGCAGCGUCGUGGCCUUGGAGCAAGGAGCAAUCAGCAUCUCAUGUCCAGCCCUCACAUCACUUUUUCUAAGUGCAGAUUUAUCUCAUUUAUUUUCUGAGAAAACCCACAGCAAUGCCCUACAGAGAGGGGCUGGGAUUUCAGCUCAGCGAUCAGACUGAGAGCAUCCGAUCGUAUGACUAAAAGGCGUCCCUCGCACACCAUGGGUCCUGUCGGAGGGGCACCCAGCUCUCUGCAGCUCCUGGGCCUGUACACAGCCGCUGUGACCCUGGGGGUGGUGUGUGUGUGUUUCCAGCCAAACAUGUCACCUUUUGUAGCACAGAGCUGUCUGCUUCGCCACCCGCUGCCCCGAUGACAGGCGAGAAGGCAGAUCCUGCCUCGUGCCUCCACAUCACUUAUCGCUAUGUGAAAUUUAACGGGCAGCUCUGGAGCAGAGAUAGGGAGCCCAGAGGCUUCUCUUUGAGUGCAAAAUAACUCAGAUGAACUUGAACAGACUCAGCUCCUCAUCAGCAAGAGGUGGCAUUGGAGCAGGUCAGACUUCUAAGGUCAGAAGGGACUGUGCGCUCCCAUGCCCGCAUGGCACAGAGACCCCUCGCAGGGGCCCAGCUGACAAUAUUUGUAAUCUGAAAAGGUUGCCAGAGGCCCAAAACAAGGAAAUAAGAUAAACCAGACCCAAAGAUGGACCAACAGUCUCCCCAGCCUGAGCCCAUCAGCCGAAGAGGACGCGCUGCAGGAUCACGCAGAGAUUUGGAGAUCACCUGGGAGGUCCCCGCAGGGAAGGUGAAAAACAUGGCAUAAAGUGGAAAAAGACACAGGGCGGACACGAGGCCAGAGGAAUGGCAGCACACGAGGGUUACAGGCGCUGGGCUGGGGCAAAGGGACUUGCUUUGAAACCAAGCAUCGUGAGGCGCAGUGCCCCUGGACAGCAGCUCACCCGAUGCUGCAGAGGAGCAAUGGGGCGAAACCCAGGAGCAGGAGAGGGGUCUUCGCACCAGCCUGGGCUGAACCCAACCUGGCGGGGCCCCCACGAGCCACAGGUGUGCCCCCCUCCCCACGCCACCUCCCAGUGCACUUAUAUCUGCUGGCAUCCACAUAUAACCCAAAUCCCUGCCAGCAGAGAGGAGGCAUCUGUGUGACAAGAUGACAGAGAUUAGCUCCGUUAGCAUAAGCAGCUCCUGGGCUGGCCCUAAUCCAGAGGGACAUAUGCAGCCCAGGCGCCGCAGCUCUCCAUCUUCCCUGGGCUGCCCUGAAGGACCCGUGUGAGCUGGAGAAGACAAUUUUCACCAGUGUCUCUACAUCAGGAUGGGCACCACGUGCCAGCGGGGACCCUGCAAAUGGUCCCAGUUCAGCCCAGCCCCUGCUAACAGAGAUGGCUCAUUCUGCUCCCACGGCUGCCUCUCAGCCCAGGGGCUGCUCUAACAGGAGCACGGUGGCCUCGGGGCAGAGUUUGCCCUCCGUGUUUCUCAACACAGCCUCUCCAGGUGUUUUGUACAGCAAACAAAAGCAGGCUAGCUAGCUGUAGUUCAAAAUGCCCCACAUACACGACAGCAACUGCUCUCUGUAGGUUUCCAUACAAACCCGGGCAGUUAGGCAUCCCAAAAGAAACAGCUUUUUACACCCCACUGCUUGACUUUCACCUGCAGAAAGAGCAUUUUUGGGAGCCCAACUUACCUGCAAGCAGAACCCAAAGCAAAGUGCUGAAGAGCUCCCGGGAAUCAGCUACAGAGCAAACGGAGGCUCAGUCCUCACCCCUCUGCAGUAGCAGUUACUCCCUGCUAGGAGGGAGGACCAGCACUGCUGGAGGGAAGCUCCUGCCAUGGCAAUUAACAGCAUUAAUUGCCAAUCACCAGCAGCUGGGCCUCACUGAACCCCAGGCACCCAGGUGUGCGAGCAAGGAGCACCGCCUGCCCUGCCUGCAGGGAGGGGGGAAAGGGGAGUGCGACUCAUGAGAAGACAAAAAUCGUGUGAUCUCCUGAACCCCACAAAAAAGUGGCUGAGAGGGGUUGUGGGCGAUGCCUCAGCGUAAGGCACAGGGCGGCCGAAGAGCUGAGGGUGAGGCUGAGGGUCCGCAGUGGUGCGAAGAGCGGGAGUUGGGGCGCAGGGAAGCCCGCAGCCCCCGCUCUGGGCACGGCCAGGGUCAGGGCUGGGGGGGCAAGACAAGGGACUGGCAGUGGCUCAGCCCUCGCCUCCCCGCGCAGGUGCCCGUGGCAGCGGGGCACUGACGGGGCUUUAUCUGCGUUUCUACGCCUGGUGGAAAAACAUUUGGGCCACUGAGCGACAGGCUAAAAGUGUCCGGGGUCAGGCAGAGCAGCUGCCGGGGCUGUGCUGGAAGGGCUUUGCUCUGAAACCGCCGUAUCCGCCCCGGCGUGCUUAAACCAGUAACACAAGAUUACAUUGCAUCAGGCUGGGACCUGGUAUGUGGUGGGAGCCAGAAAUAAAACUGUUUGUGUAGCAACUGAAAAAAUAGCAACGGGAGCUAGGUGAGGUGUACCUCUCUCUUUUUUUUUUUUUUUUUUAGGCCAGAAAUAUUAAUUUAUUUGGGUGGAAGAGAUUUGUUUACAUUUUAAAGGGGUUUUGCUUGGGAUGUGAGCUGCCCAGAACCUCCGCAUGCUGCAAGCGGCAGCAGGGGUGUUUCCACGCAGGUCUGCAACUCCCUGGCCCCAGCAACCUCUGCAUUGCCCUUCCACGUACCACAGGCUCUCGGACACUGGUGUACGCUGAGGGACACUGGAUGCGGCGCAAAACAGAGCUAGCAGGAUGCACAUACAGGCUUGAACCAGGCUGUACCCAGAUGUUUGGAAGACAUCACCUACAUUGCUGUGUGCUAGUCCCUUUCCAGCUGUUAUCCCACCUUACGGCCAGGGAAAGGGAGUCAGAGAGGUGAUUUGGGCUUAUUCGGAUAGAAUUCAGGUCAGGACCGAGCACUGCGCCAGCGCAACCCCUGCGGUGGCAGGAUCCGGGUGGAAGCAGCAAGCUCCACAGCAGGCAGACAGAAAAUAAGGGAGAUGCUCUGAAUAAUGAGUGCAAACCAGUUACAUAAAAAAUAAGAGAAUAACUGUCCUGCAAGCAUAGGGCCCCUCUGCUCUGCUGCUCAGGGCAGCUCUCCCAGGGCUGCGGCUUCCUGCGUGAACUGCAGACAGGCGAGUGAAGCACAAGGUCACCCCGCAGCUGCAGGCAGAGCAGGAACAACCCUCCCACCUCCCACGCCUGCCACCCCCGCUGCAGGGAUGCUUAAUCCCUCAGCAGUGCCACGUAGGGAGAACUCUGCAAAUAGCGUCAAGGAGGUUAGAGAGAGGGAAAGGAAGGGGGGAGCACGCCUGAAAUUAGGUCCACCAAAAGCUGCAUUUGUUGUGGCCCUACGGGAAAGUAAAGAGUCUUUCUGUAACGCUGCCAGUUCAUAGAAAGGGCCAUGGAGUGAGAUCAGAACCUGAGAAAGCAUUUCAUGAAGGCUGUCUAAUUCGCCGUAUGUAAUUAGACCUAACAGCGUGAAUGGUGCAUGAAGCUCUGGUUUUAGUUUAAUAGAAAAAAAAAUCAUCAGAGAAUAUUUAUAAAAGUCUGUGUCAUUCUUGUGCAUUUCCAUCACAUGGGGAUGUGUCAAAGGAUCAUGCGUAGUCCUGCAAGUGCUGAAGAGGGGUCUGGAAAUAGUUAUGGCAAAGCUUGUGAUCCCACUAGACUGGGGAAAAGAAGAAGAACAUCCAGCUUGGAGGUCUUGGCUUUCUUUUACCCUCCUGCCAUCUUUCUGCUUCUCCUAAAAGCACCACCAGCAUCCCACGCAGUGAGAAAUGACGAUGAGGGAGGUAAAACGCUGCUGCACAUGUAACUGCAGCCAGAACGUGUAACCAAGCCCUCGGUGGCCCAGUUCCACGCAAUUGUCGCUGCAAAAACAUCCUGAAUCAGCACCAGCUGGCUGGAAAAUGAAAGCCGGGCUGUUUGCUCCCCUCUUGCACCUCUCAAAAUAACCAGCACCUUCCCUAUACUCACCCCUCCAAACACACACACUCCCACCUUUCCCAGCAAUUCAGUGACCAGCGGGAGCCGCAGCCGGCACAGCCGGUGUGCCCGGCCAGGUCCUCCCUGUGCCCCUACACCGUGACUGGAUUAAAGAAGCAUUUUCAAAGAUCACUGGGGUGUAAGUAUCUGGAAAGCAUUGGAAAAUGCAGUCACCCCCUCCCAGCGUCCGGGGUCCCGUGCGGAGGCUGUGCGGUACUGUGGGGCACCUCCAGCAAAGGGGCAAAACCAUCUUAAACCACUCCCAUCGUUGCCACAUUUAUCUACAUCUAAAGAAGAAAUUAAGCACCUAAAUCAUAUCGCAUAGAGCAGAAGGUGGGCAGCACGUUUCUUCAGGCACCUCCAGAAGCCCAAGCCUGGAGGCAGCGGCCAAGGAGCUGCAUGAGCCCGGGGGGCUGCUUGUCUCCAGCCCCUUUCUAUCCCGUGUCAGACCAGAGCUGGCAGCAUCGAGACCAAACUCUGCCAAAAGCUUGUUACUCCCUGAGCUCCGCACAGGGCAACAGCAAUGAAGGGAAUUGUGAAGAGGAUAUACAGGGGAUAUACGGCUCGUGUCUCAGAGAUUCAGCCUCAGACAAAUAAAAAAGCCCUCACUGCUUGCUUGCGUGUAUCUAUUCUGUGCUUAUGGCUUUGAGAGCAGAGAACUUCUGGUGUAAAUUACUUGCGUGACCUUUCCUGUUUGAUGACUUUACAGCUGGCUGCCCACACCUCAAAUAUAAUUUCAUUUAUGCUAUCCGUCAUCAACACCUGCUGGAGAGACUGGCAGCUUCUGUCGUUAACGUGAUUGGUGCUACUGUCACCCAGCGUUGUGGCUGGGCAGAAGGGGGGCACGCAGAUAUUGCUGCAUUGUACAGCCCUGGGCGGUGCAGGGUGGGAAUGAGGACUCUGGGCAUUAUCGGUCAGACCUGUGAUAGUAACGAGUAAAAUACUUCUUUUAUCUUCUCCUUCUCAUCCUUUGCCCACGCCAGAAUGAGCAGCACGAGCUGCUGAGGCUCCUGCUGAACGUGGCAGGGUGGAAAUCCUAUUUUUCCGGUUCUUUUUCCUGCCCUGCAAGACCUUCUUCCACGUGGCUGUCCACUGCACAGCCCUCGAAGGCUCUGCUCUCCCAGCUCCUUCUUGGUUACGACUCCUUGCAUUUCCAGGGACGCGUGUCCACAGCAGCCUCCCCGCAGCCAGAAAACUGCCCAGGGCAAGAACUGGCUGCAUUGUUUCUUGUCUGGAGACCCCCUUGCUCAACAGCACCCUUCUCUAACACAGCGCACCCAGGGUAUUCUCACGACACAAUUAAAAUUGUGAAGAAUUUCAAAUUAAAUUCAACCUGUUUUAAAAACAAUGUCACAACAGCCUCCAACAGUAAAUUCUAUGGACUAAUCAGGCAUGUGCUUUAUUUCUUUCAAUCCCUUUUCAGCUAUGCUUAAUUACACUUAAUCAUUAUAAUCAUGGUCUCUGCCUUCCUACCUACAACCCACUUGCCCAGGAAAACAAUUCUCUCCGGUACACCUCUCCUACGCUUGUAAAGCCAAUUAUUGGAGUUUCUGAGCUAGCGGGAGGAAUGCUAAUCCUUACAUGGCUCCGCUCCUCGGCAAGAGGCUGGGGCUGACUCUGUCAUCUUUAGAAAGCGCCUCUCAGCAGUUAAGAACGGGCAGAUGCAAUUCAGGCAACUAUUUUAUCCCCACAGACAAGCUGAAGCACACUUAAGGGACCGUUCAUUAAAACCCCCAUCGCAAGAGGCGAGGGAAAAGCUGUGGAGCGUGGGUGGCGACGACCCCUCUCCCUGCAGCUCUGCACCGAAGCCGAGAGCCAGAUCCCAAACCCUCCUUUGACUCCUAAUUUCGGACUUCACAGAUGCCUGGGGCACAGAUGCCUGCCGCUGCUGGCUGCGACUGCAUCAGGUAUAUCCCUGCGCAUUUAUUACGCCUGUAGAAACACGGGGGAGAGACAGAGCUUGUACCACGGGAAAACAUUUAGUGUACAUUUAGUGUUCAAAGAACAUGCAUUCACGUGAAGAGAAAAAAAAACGAUCUUCAGAGGAAAAGGCAUCUCUGAGCAUCUGUGCAUGUGGCUGUCCUGAAAGUGUUAGGCUAAUUUGACAAGAGGAAAGAAAACAAACCCAACGCUGCCUACCAUCCCUUCAUCGCCUGAGCAGCAAAGGACUUAGUUUAUAAAAAGGAGUAGAUGAAUCAUACGAUGACUAGCACCUGCUUGCUAGCUGAUGCUUAAAGAAAACCUAAUUAUGGGCAAAAUUCACCUCUUUGGUCCACACAGCCUUGAGCCACACGCUGACCCCUCCCGUAAGAGCAGCCUGUGUAAGAACUGAAAACAGAGCCGGGAAAGACUCCCCCCACACAGACCGACGUUUCGUUGAGGCCACCCGUUCCAGCAGACAGCUCACUCGAGGGAUCCCGAAAGAGCCGGCCAGGCAGCGCACGGUCGGGGGGCAGGCAGGAGACCCAGCCCCAGCCCCUCAAAAGGCUCCUUGUCGCUUGACACCCAGCAGCCUCGCCUCUUCCAGGGGAAGUUUACAAACAUCCUUCCCCUCGUUCCAGCCCAGCGAGCAUAAGGACUACUGGCAGACUGAGCUUAACAGCCGCUGAAGUGUUCAGUACCGCCUUGUAACCCUGCGUACCAGCAGGUUCAAGUGCAGCACUCCUCUGGAAGGGAGAGCGUGGCAGCACCCCGCACGUGGCGAGUCCAGCCAUCACUGGUCAUUUAUACCAUCGCUGUUACUGGAAGAUAUGUCCAAAGUGUUCAGGCUGGUAAUUUUGAGGCCCUUUGGAAUGGCCUUAGGAAGUUCCCGGCUCUUGCUUUCAGAAAAAUCAGGUCCCUUCAAAACAUAUCAAGCAGAAGACCCAAAUCUGAAGCUCCAAACCAGCUAGCCACCGUUGAAGCGUCUUAGCUUACAAGUAUAAAUUAGAUAGGCAGCUUAAAAAAAGCACGCAGCCUCGUGCCUUUAAAAUGUCAGGUGGCAGAAAUUAAAGCGGACAAUUUUGUGCUACAGAACAACUCUCUGGCUAGACCGCUGCGGCUGCCUCCUAAAGCCCCGUGCGCCAAAUGGACCGGCUACCUGCGCCGGCAUCGCCCUCUUACGAGGCAAAGGCUGAAAAGUGAAACCCAGCAAACCGAAAGGAAUAUUGCUAAAUGCAAGUGCACGCCAUCAUCUUCUUCUGCCUGUCAGAAUGAGUCAGGAAUCUCCUGAUUAAUUUUCCCUUCGAGAAACCACGUUAAUUAACGAACGGCAAUAAUUAAUAAUGGAUGGAAUAUAGCACACGAGCAGCAAUGGGCCGGACUCCAGGCUUACGCCCCGCAGUCCGACUCUUUGUGCAGAGAUGCAGGUUUCACAUUGACAUCCCUCAGUGUAAUUUAGGCAGAAUUAUGUGAAUACACCAUUAGUACCGGGUUCUCCAGAUCCUUAGCUGGCAUUAAACAGCGCUCACGUUACCGCACACCGCGCAGCUCUGAACAGCGAUGUGAUACGAUACCCUCCUACAUCACAUCAACAAGCGUUAGAGCACGGCAAGAUAAGCUUAUUUUUUUUUUUUUUAAAUGAGAAACUGCCACUCGGUCCUACGAAACCCUCGUACAGAGCCCGUCCCGUGAAGAUCAGUGACCGCAGCAGACCGAGCAGGCACCGUGCCCGCAGGCUACGGCGCUGCACGUCCGUAAAUACACACGCUACGAACAAAGACAUUCAACGAACGCUUAAAUGCCUGCGUGUGCGCAUUCCGUUACCGUUUUCAGGUUGUAAACUUUGUUUUAAUCAGACAAUUGCCAUUCACCCAUACGAAAACAAGGAAAACAUUCACUCGGUGUUAUCUGCAAACUUUCUGUGUGAAACACGCAUCAUUUAAUCACAGAGGUCGUAGCUUUUUAUUGCAGCAUGAUUUCAUCUUCAAACUAUUCCAGUAUCCACUUGUGUACAGUAGGUUACCCAUUUAUAGGUUUCUAAUAAAAGCAAAUCUGCCUUAAGUGGCUAUUACUGGAUUUCUCCUUUCAGCCUAGGG